rnacentral:lncRNA from 1 species
CUGACAAGUCUGUUGGGUGCUGCUUCAGACCAGGCAGCGAGUCGAGGAGUGUGCAGACUACAGAGACUGUAGAUCAGUCAAGCUACACCUCAGAAACCAGAUGGUGCUGCCACAGUCCUGCUGCACGCUUCCACCCAUUUUAUCACAUUGUCUGCAAAGGCAGUAAUAAAGUCAAGCCCGGA